AGUUUCCACUUGGAAGAAAGAUUCACAUCAAAUUGACUGGUCAAGGAAAUGGGACACUGACUAACCACACGAUGAGACUGUUUUGAUGAGGAAUUUAAAGAUUAUGUGACUCACAGUUUGGUACCAUAGGUUGGUACGAUCUUCGUUCGAGAAGGAAAAGGGAUGUUCCAGAUACAGAAAAUCGUCAAACCAUUUCCUACAAAGUCCGUUUCUGGGUGGAGUUAGUGGAACCGAAAAAGAUGUCUCCCUCACAGCGUUUGUGACAAAAGAAUUGCAUCGUUCCUUGGCGGCCUUUCAACAGAAGAAUAUUCAGAGAUUUCCCGAGUGGACACAAUCAUCGCCUUGGAAGCUUCAUCACGAUACUACUUUGCAUUUCUGAAGAGGGAAGAAGAAAUCAAUAUGCAAAUUCAAUUCCAUGGUUUUGGAAGUCCCAUGUGAGAACACGAUUCAUUUGCGCCGGCAUAAUGCUCUGACCGAGAAAGAAUUGAAGUUUCCACUUGGAAGAAAGAUUCACAUCAAAUUGACUGGUCAAGGAAAUGGGACACUGACUAACCAUACGAUCAGACUGUUUUGAUGAGGAAUUUAAAGGUUAUGUGUCCCAUCCGUUUGACUCACAGUUUGGUACCAUAGGUUGGUAUGAUCUUCGUUCGAGAAAGAAAAGGGAUGUUCCAGAUACAGAAAACCGUCAAACCAUUUACUACAAAGUCCGUUUCUGGGUGGAGUUAGUGGAACCGAAAAAGAUGUCUCCCUCACAGCGUUUGUGACAAAAGAAUUGCAUCGUUCCUUGGUGGCCUUUCAACAGAAGAAUAUUCAGAGGUUUCCCGAGUGAUUCUGAUGUUGGUUCCUGGAAAGCCUCCAUUGUUGGAGGACGAGAAGCCGUAUCCACUUGAAGCAGCACAGGCUUCUGCGAUGACUGUGGAAACCACUGCUUAUGCCUUGCUUCAAGCGUUGUCAAGGAAUGAUAUUGACUAUGCAACACCGAUUGCGAGGUGGCUAACGAUGCAACAGAACUAUGGUGGUGGAUUUCACUCG